rnacentral:rRNA from 1 species
UACGGAGGGAGCUAGCGUUGUUCGGAUAUACUGGGCGUAAAGCGCACGUAGGCGGCGCAGUAAGUCAGGGGUGAAAUCCCGGGGCUCAACCCCGGAACUGCCCUUGAAACUGCAGUGCUAGAAUCUUGGAGAGGCGAGUGGAAUUCCGAGUGUAGAGGUGAAAUUCGUAGAUAUUCGGAAGAACACCAGUGGCGAAGGCGGCUCACUGGCCCGAUACUGACGCUGAGGCACGAAAGCGUGGGGAGCAAACAGGG